rnacentral:rRNA from 1 species
AACGCGAAGAACCUUACCUGGGCUCGAAAUGUUAUGGACCGGGGUGGAAACAUCCCUUCCCAGCAAUGGGCCGUAAUAUAGGUGCUGCAUGGCUGUCGUCAGCUCGUGUCGUGAGAUGUUGGGUUAAGUCCCGCAACGAGCGCAACCCUUAUCUUCAGUUGCUACCAUUUAGUUGAGCACUCUGACGAAACCGCCUCGGAUAACGGGGAGGAAGGUGGGGAUGACGUCAAGUCCUCAUGGCCUUUAUGUCCAGGGCUACACACGUGCUACAAUGGCCGGUACAAACCGUCGCAAACCCGCGAGGGGGAGCUAAUCGGAAAAAGCCGGCCUCAGUUCGGAUCGCAGUCUGCAACUCGACUGCGUGAAGCUGGAAUCGCUAGUAAUCGCGGAUCAGAACGCCGCGGUGAAUACGUUCCCGGGCCUUGUA